rnacentral:pre_miRNA from 1 species
UUCCUAGUAGUCCAUUCCAUAGGUCUUAAUAAACCCUUCAACUAAUCUUACAUUGUAUAUGUUAACCGUACCAUCAGCCAUGUACUUCACAUUGUAGACCCAUUUGCAGCAAACCAACUUCUUCCCUUCUGAAGGCUCAACCGGUUUCCAAGUAUUAUGCUUAAGUAAUACUUCCAUUUCCUCACACAUAGCCUCGUGCCAUUUAGGAUGAGCUAAGACCUCUAUAACAUCGGAAGGAAAUAGAAACAUGAAACAAAUAGGGAGUAUAGAGGUCUUAGCUUGUCCUAAAAGGCAUGAGGCUAUGUGUGAGGAGAUGGGAGCAUUUCUUGAGCAUAAUACUUGGGAACUGGUUGACCCUUCAGAAGGGAAGAAGUUGGUUUGCUGCAAAUGGGUAUACAAUGUGAAGUCCAUGGCUGAUGGUACGGUUAACAUAUACAAUGUGAGAUUGGUGGCUGAAGGGUUUAUUAAGACCUAUGGAAUUGACAAAUAGAAA